rnacentral:rRNA from 1 species
GAUGAACGCUGGCGGCGUGCCUAAUACAUGCAAGUCGAGCGAACGGACGAUAAGCUUGCUUCUCUGAUGUUAGCGGCGGACGUGUGAGUAACACGUGGAUAACCUACCUAUAAGACUGGUAUAACUUCGGGAAACCGGAGCUAAUACCGUAUAAUAUUUUGAACCGCAUGGUUCAAAAGUGAAAGACGGUCUUGCUGUCACUUAUAGAUGGAUCCGCGCUGCAUUAGCUAGUUGGUAAGUUAACGGCUUACCAAGGCAACGAUGCAUAGCCGACCUGAGAGGGUGAUCGGCCACACUGGAACUGAGACACGGUCCAGACUCCUACGGGAGGCAGCAGUAGGGAAUCUUCCGCAAUGGGCGAAAGCCUGACGGAGCAACGCCGCGUGAGUGAUGAAGGUCUUCGGAUCGUAAAACUCUGUUAUUAGGGAAGAACAUAUGUGUAAGUAACUGUGCACAUCUUGACGGUACCUAAUCAGAAAGCCACGGCUAACUACGUG